rnacentral:rRNA from 1 species
UACGUAGGGUCCGAGCGUUGUCCGGAAUUACUGGGCGUAAAGAGCUCGUAGGUGGUUUGUCGCGUUGUUCGUGAAAACUCACAGCUCAACUGUGGGCGUGCGGGCGAUACGGGCAGACUGGAGUACUGCAGGGGAGACUGGAAUUCCUGGUGUAGCGGUGGAAUGCGCAGAUAUCAGGAGGAACACCGGUGGCGAAGGCGGGGUCUCUGGGCAGUAACUGACGCUGGAGGAGCGGAAGCGUGGGGAGCGAACAGG